UCAUGUUCGUUCUUGUCCGCCAGUGUUCCGAAAAAUGCAUGGAGUUAUUUUAUUAAUUAUGCAUCUUUUCCAUAAAUCCUUUAAAAAGUUAUACAUUACUUCACUGUAUCCAAUGAUAUUGUAUGUAUUCUCAUAUUAUUGUAUUAUAAAAUACUACAGCAAAUCUAAGCCAGUAUUCCUAGCAGCAGCCAAUGUUUUGGUUUCAAAUCAGCUGAUGGUGAAUACGAGUUUGUUUCGCCAUAUUUAACACAAUUCUGAGCGCAUUUUCUUGCUUCUAGUUAGCAUAAACGAAUAUCUAGAUACUUGACUUGUAUGAGACAAGGUUAUUUUUCCUUAUACGACGUGUUUUUAGGUGGAAAUACGAAUUGAAUAUGUCUCGUUGUGAUUGCAAACUAAUUUUUUUUUUUUCGUUAACAGAUCACAUUGGCGGCAUGUUUAUUGCAUAAAAAAAUUAUGUGAUUCCGUUCGCAAUUUUCCUUUAUAUCAUCGUAAUACAAACUUUACGUUAUUUAUUAUAUAUCGGCAUGAAACCAACAGUAAAAUGUGUUCUUUCAAGCACAGUAAUUUUGAUUAAAAUUUUUUAUCUCAAUUGUAUCUACGGUUGUGUUUGAUGGCAUACGUUUACUGGAGUUGUAUCCUUGUUACCGAUGCACCAUAAUAGUCAUUAGCAGCUUGAACAGUUUUCUCAGCUUCAGUUAUAACUAGGUUUAAGUUAUAAAUUUAACAGUAUAUUUCCCAAUUGAUCUUUGAUCUAUAUUGAUAUUUGAUCUAUAGCGAAUAAAGUUAUUACAUUACGAUAUCAGUUCUAUUCUACAUAAUGUCAUUUAUAACUACUACGGUAAUAAUGUACUAUAGUACGAUGAUUGAAAUACAAGCCAAAUGGAUGUUAUAGAAUUUAGUUGUACUUAGAGAGAGAGAGAGAAAAAAGUCUUUUCUCGUUCGGUUGUUCAUGGCUGUACAUGUUUACGCAACAAGUAUAACGUUAAAACCAUACUUUCAUAAUUCUCUUUUGCUGCUUUUGAAUGUAUGUAACCAGAAGAUUGGAUAAAGUUAGGCUAUUGUAAUUUGGUCUCUCAUAAAAUCGGAUUAUCGUAAGACAAAUUAUCGUAACUUGAACACUACAGCUACCUGUACACUGUACGUUUAAAACCUUAUUAUAUCUUUACAUGCUCUAUAGACACCCAAAGGAUUAAAGCUAGGCUUUUUUCACUUUACACUAUUUAUAAUACUGUACAGUACUACCGUACAGUAAAUUCCAUAGUACUAUACUGCAUAAAUAUAAUUUUACUUAUUGAGCCAUCGUGGGAUUACGGCGCCAUUUGACUGGUCUAGGACUCUGUUAACUGGUCUAGAAAGGUGUGCGGCGGCCGCGGGCUUUAAAAUCGCUUAGCGUCGAAAAUCACUUAGCGUCGGCAGCCAGGAACGGAACCCCUGCCACUAACCAAGGGUCACCUGUACUUUCCAUCUGGAACUUUGUUCUGGUUGUAGGUAUUAUAAUUGGUUGUUCUGGUUAUAGGUAUUAUAAUUGGUAAGAUUUCUUGUCUAUUAUUUGUAAUCCUCAAUGCUAAAAAAUAAUUUAUUUUACAGAAAUAACUGGGAGAAAUUUACUCCUUACACUAACAUCUUAUGGUUGCACUACAUUGUGGAUAAGAUGAUCAAUGAGUGUUACUAUAAAAAUGCAAAAUCUAGAGUUCACAAAAGUGGGUUAGUUCUGCUAAGAAAUUUGAAGGACAGCAUUCUUGACUCGGAGAGCGCUGUAGAUUUUGUUCUAAGAAGAGAACACCCUGAGUAACAUAUUGAUUCAGAUGUCUUUGGAGGUUGUAGAGGGGAAAAAACCUUUUCAUGAAUAAAAUGCUUGAGAAGUUUUCUGGAUGGAAGGUGUUUUGUCUGUGUUAAAUGAUGACAAAAGUUUAAGUUAUUUGUUCUUUGUGUAAAUAAAGAUUCUUUGGUUUUCAUUAAAACUGUAAAGUUAAUA